rnacentral:lncRNA from 1 species
AAGGUCGUGGUGCCAAAACCCCCCAGCGGAAAAAUGGCCAAAAAACGGGUCGUGGGCUAUAGCCUUGGUGGGGGGCGCGGGCGAAGUUCGUCCGCCGGGCUCGGAAUGGGGCGAGGCUUUGCGAGGGGCCUUGGGGUGCCAAAAAUAAGCCGCGGGGAAAGCCGCGCCCAAAAAUAAGCGCCCGAAGGUCGUGGUGCCAAAACCCCCCAGCGGAAAAAUGGCCAAAAAACGGGUCGUGGGCUAUAGCCUUGGUGGGGGGCGCGGGCGAAGUUCGUCCGCCGGACUCGGAAUGGGGCGAGACUUUGCGAGGGGCCUCAGGGUGCCAAAAAUAAGCCGCGCCCGAAAAUAAGCGCCCGAAGGUCGUGGGGCCAAAACCCCCCAGCGGAAAAAUGGCCAAAAAACGGGUCGUGGGCUAUAGGCUUGGUGGGGGGCGCGGGCGAAUUUCGUCCGCCGGACUCUUAAUGGGGCGAGACUUUCCGAGGGGCCUCGGGGUGCCAAAAAUAAGCCACGGGCAAAGCCGCGCCCAAAAAUAAGCGCCCGAAGGUCGUGGUGCCAAAACACCCCAUGCGGAAAAAUGGCCAAAAAACGGGUCGUGGGCUAUAGCCUUGGUGGGGGGCGCGGGCGAAGUUCGUCCGCCGGACUCGGAAUUGGAGCGAGACUUUUGCGAGGGGCCUCGGGGUGCCAAAAAUAAGCCGCGGGCAAAGCCGCGCCCAAAAAUAACCGCCCAAAGGUCGUGGUGCCAAAACCCCCCAGCGGAAAAAUGGCCAAAAAACGGGUCGUGGGCUAUAGCCUUGGUGGGGGGCGCGGGCGAAGUUCGUCCGCCGGACUCGGAACGGGGCGAGACUUUGCGAGGGGCCUCGGGGUGCCAACAAAAAGUCGCGGGCACAGCUGCGCCCAAAAAUAAGCGCCCGAAGGUCGUGGUGCCAAAACCCCCCAGCGGAAAAAUGGCCAAAAAACGGGUCGUGGGCUAUAGCCUUGGUGGGGGGCGCGGGCGAAGUUCGUCCGCCGGACUCUGAAUGGGGCGAGACUUUACGAGGGGCCUCGCGGUGCCAAAAAUAAGCCGCGGGCAAAGCCGCGCCCAAAAAUAAGCGCCCGAAGGUCGUGGUGCGAAAACCCCCCAGCGGAAAAAUGGCCAAAAAACGGGUCGUGGGCUAUAGCCUUGGUGGGGGGCGCGGGCGAAGUUCGUCCGCCGGACUCGGAAUGGGGCGAGACUUUGCGAGGGGCCUCGGGGUGCCAAAAAUAAGCCGCGGGCAAAGCCGCGCCCAAAAAUAAGCGCCCGAAGGUCGUGGUGCCAAAACCCCCCAGCAGAAAAAAGGCCAAAAAACGGGUCGUGGGCUAUAGCCUUGGUGGGGGGCGCGGGCGAAGUUCGUCCGCCGGACUCAGAAUGGGGCGAGACUUUGCGAGGGGCCUCGGGGUGCCAAAAAUAAGCCGCGGGCAAAGCCGCGCCAAAAAAUAAGCGCCCGAAGGUCGUGGUGCCAAAACCCCCCAGCGGAAAAAAGACCGCCAAAAAAGUGGUGGGCUAUAGCCUUGGUGGGGGGCGCGGGCGAAGUUCGUCCGCCGGACUCGGAAUGGGGCGAGACUUUGCGAGGGUCCUCGGGGUGCCAAAAAUAAGCCGCGCCCGAAGGUCGUGGUGCCAAAACCCUCCAGCGGAAGAAUAAUCAAAAAACGGGUCGUGGGNNNNNNNNNNNNNNNNNNNNNNNNNNNNNNNNNNNNNNNNNNNNNNNNNNNNNNNNNNNNNNNNNNNNNNNNNNNNNNNNNNNNNNNNNNNNNNNNNNNNNNNNGCCGCGCCCAAAAAUAAGCGCCCGAAGGUCGUGGUGCCAAAACCCCCCAGCGGAAAAAUGGCCAAAAAACGGGUCGUGGGCUAUAGGCUUGGUGGGGGGCGCGGGCGAAUUUCGUCCGCCGGACUCGGAAUGGGGCGAGACUUUCCGAGGGGCCUCGGGGUGCCAAAAAUAAGCCGCGGGCAAAGCCGCGCCCAAAAAUAAGCGCCCGAAGGUCGUGGUGCCAAAUCCUCCAGCGGAAAAAUGGCCAAAAAACGGGUCGUGGCCUAUAGCCUUGGUGGGGGGCGCGGGCGAAGUUCGUCCCCCGGACUCGGAAUGGGGCGAGACUUUGGGAGGGGCCUCGGGGUGCCAAAAAUAAGCCGCGGGCAAAGCCGCGCCCAAAAAUAAGCGCCCGAAGGUCGUGGUGCCAAAAGCCCCCAGCGGAAAAAUGGCCAAAAAACGGGUGACCUAUUGCCUUGGUGGGGGGCGCGGGCGAAGUUCGUUCGCCGGACUCGGAAUGGGGCGAGACUUUGCGAGGGGCCUCGGGGUACCAAAAAUAAGCCGCGGGCAAAGCCGCGCCCAAAAAUAAGCGCCUGAAGGUCGUGGUGCCAAAACCCCCCAGUGGAAAAAUGGCCAAAAAACGGGUCGUGGGCUAUAGCCUUGGUGGGGGGCGCGGGCGAAGUUCGUCCGCCGGACUCGGAAUGGGGCGAGACGUUGCGAGGGGCCUCGGGGUGCCAAAAAUAAGCCGCGGGCAAAGCCGCGCCCAAAAAUAAGCGCCCGAAGGUCGUGGUGCCAAAACCCCCCAUCGGAAAAAUGGCCAAAAAACGGGUCGUGGGCUAUAGCCUUGGUGGGGGGCGCGGGCGAAGUUCGUCCGCCGGACUCGGAAUGGGGCGAGACUUUGCGAGGGGCCUCGGGGUGCCAAAAAUAAGCCGCGCCCGAAGGUCGUGGGGCCAAAACCCCCCAGCGGAAAAAUGGCCAAAAAACGGGUCGUGGGCUAUAGCCUUGGUGGGGGGCGCGGGCGAAUUUCGUCCGCCGGACUCGGAAUGGGGCGAGACGUUGCGAGGGGCCUCGGGGUGCCAAAAAUAAGCCGCGGGCAAAGCCGCGCCCAAAAAUAAGCGCCCGAAGGUCGUGGUGCCAAAACCCCCCAGCGGAAAAAUGGCCAAAAAACGGGUCGUGGGCUAUAGCCUUGGUGGGGGGCGCGGGCGAAGUUCGUCCGCCGGACUCGGAAUGGAGCGAGACUUUGCGAGGGGCCUCGGGGUGCCAAAAAUAAGCCGCGCCCGAAGGUCCUGGUGCCAAAACC